rnacentral:lncRNA from 1 species
CAUUGUGUUCAUAAAGAGUUUAGAAAAUGUCUGAAAUAAAUGGAAAUAUAAAAUGUGUCACAGAAAGUAAAUGUAAUGAAUGUAGGUUUGAAAUACCAAUUGAAAGUAGACUUUUACCCUUGUGCCAGACUAUAAAUAAUAUCCUUAACUAGAAACUCACUACAUACUUAAAAACAUUGCGUAUAUGACCACAUUUAAUCUUGCCAAUAUCCCUAUCAGGUAGUUUCUAUUGGUGCUAUUCAUCUUUUCCUUUUUUCUUUUCUUUUCUUUUUUUCUGUCCUUCUCUCCUCCUCCUCAUUCUCCCUCCCUCUUUCCCCUUUUUCUUUCUCUCUCUCUCUGUCUCUGUCUCUCUUGUGUCUCUUUGUCUCUCUGUCUCUCAACAAGGAAACUAAAAUUUGAAGAGAUAAAGAAAUCUGUCUUUCAUGAUAUAGUUAAUAAAUUUCAGAAUCUAUAUUCAAACCCAGAUUUUGUCCUUGACUCUUAAGUUCUAAAGCAUGAUGUAGUUUUGUGUUGUUAGAUGUUACUUUUGAAACCCAAUUCACAUUAGUUUAAGGAAAAACCAGAAUGACCUAAGAGUUUCAUAAAAGGCAAAGAAAAGAAUGCAGCUGGGCCUCAGGAAAAUCAGAAACUAAUGAAUAAACACUGACCAAACUGGGCUUCCACACCCGUUGACACAAUCUCACCCCCUCCUUCCAUUUAUGUGCUCUAUUCUAUACCAUCUACACCUCAUUGGCUUACUUACUUUUGUUCACAUGGCAGAAAAUUCAGUUAUCCUGAGCUUUGUCUUUUAGUCCAAGUGCCCAAUGCCCAGAAGAAUGUGAUUCACGUUAAAUUCCAAAACCCAUAAGUAAUGGGGAUGCAAAAUGUUGCCCAUAUUUCAUCAUUGCCUAUUUUAUAGCAAUCAUGGAUUCAUUCUCUUAAACCAUGAAUAUUUUGAGAAUGUCCUCUGCUUCACAUUGUUCUCAGUGCUGAAUAUAUACCAGUUAACUAGGAAGAUUUUAUGUUCUAGUGGGGAGACACAGGCAAUAAGUUAAAUAUAUGAUCAAAACCUGAUAAGCAAGUGUCCAUAUAGGAUAAAUUCAUAAAUAAAUUUCAAAUGGUACUACAUUAAAACAAAAAUAUAUAGUAUGUGAAAGGAUAGAGUGUAGGAGGCCAACAUUAGAUAGAGGUAUAAGAGACUAUUUCUCUGAAAUGACAUUCAAAUAGAGAACCAAAUGACAAGAAGAAAGCAGCUAUAAAAAAAUUUUAAAAAGGCUGGUGGAGUAGCUGAGAGAUAGAGUACUCAUGUAGCAUGUGUGUUGGCUUGGGUUCAAUCCUCAAAACUUUAAAAAAAAUCAAGGAAGACCAUGAGGCAGAGAGGAUGAAAGGUUCAUAAGCAAAGAUGUGAGAAUAUUAGACCACUAGGAUGGCUGGGAACUAAUAAGCUAAUGGAGAAAGCUAACACAUGAGUUACAGGAAGAAAGGAACUAAAGUAUGGAAGUCUGUACAAGACAUUUGAAUGUUAUUCAAGAUAAAAAAAAAAAAAGUUAUAGCCAGAGGGAGGAUGCUAUGAUUUGCCCAAGUUCAGCUGGGUGCCCCUUGGGUUAUGUUUUAAUUUGACUGCUGUUGCUGCAGCCAGAGGGCUGUUGAAUGAAAGGAAUAUCUCCUCUUGGGAGGCACGGUUCUGGGCAGAUAAACCAAUGAACAAUUCUGUUCUCUUUGCCAUUCUGUUCAAUCACCUCUGUUUGAAAUCCCCUUAGCAAUCAGUCCCCACAUUCUGUCAAUCAUAUUAGCUACUGUUCUUACAAAGCCAGUUCUAUCCAGAAGGUUAUAUUUUCUACUAGUUUUCAAUGUUUUAAUUUUUCUGAUCUUCUUUAUAAUUUUUAAGGCUGUUUGAAUAUGAUAUGAUAUUAGAGAAUUAUCUCUGGUAUGCUGAUUUAUUGAUUGAUUACCCGCUGGUUAAUACCUACUUGAAUACUGUCUCUUGCCUCUAGGCCUUGGCUUCCAAUUUGGUUUCACUGGGCUUUGUAUUUUAAAAUUUUCUAUCUUCCAAGCUCUGUUAUUUGCCAUGCUUAUUUUCAGCUUUCUUAGAAAAACAUGAUUGGAUCCUGAGGGCGUUUGCUAGAUAUCUGGCAAGAAGCAUCACACAGCUAUAAAAGCAAGUCAAACUAGGGAAAACGGAACAAAAUGGAAAGAGAUGCCAGCAGAAAAGAGAUUCUGGGAGCAAAAAGAAAACUACAGACACAGUAGUCAUAUCAAAAAACAAAGGAAUGGCCCAAAGAGUUAUGAAUUGCUGAAGGAGAAUUAAUGAGAUGGAAAAUUUCUCCAGGAAAAGAGCCAAAUAUAGAUAAAGAAGGACAAAAACAGCAUAAGAAAAAACAAAAUAGGGAAAAUAAAAAGAUGUAAAACCUCAAGUGCAAGGUGAAAGAGUAGAACAAAAGAAUGGAUAAAUUAAGAAAUGGUACACUGCAUUAAAGCAAAUGUAUUGUUUUCUUUAUUCUUAUCUUUAACUGGCUUUGCAUUUCUCUGGUAGCAAAGCCAAACUGAAAGGAUAAUUUUGUUUAUGUACCCAAUUUGCAUAAUUGUGCAAUAUAAAUUACAAUGCUAAUUAAGGACAGCCCUUGGGCUUCUGGAAUUGGGUCAAAGUGGCCUCCUAAGUGCAGGGAGGUUGGGACAUUGGCUCUGUCCCCUUCUCCCACUGCAGGGAAGCCAGGCAAAAAGAAAAGAAGCUCUCUUGACAGUGUGUGAAGUCUUGUCAGAAUUUAUUGCAAACCAAAAACUGUAUGUCUCACUCUCGAACUUGGCUUUCAAAAUCAUCUUUGUGUAAUUCUGACAUGAUGUGCUUAAAAGCCAAAAUUUCUUCUAAAUGUGGCUGCUUAUCUUUUUAUGAAUUUAUUUCCCUCACUUAAAAAAUUUUAUUCAGAGAAUUUAAGCUGUAGAUAAUGGAGCAUGAAGCUAGCAUACAAUAUUUUCUCACUGGACUCUUGCCAGAAUUAUCUCAAACCAGUUCAUGGUAUGCCCUGCUUAGGUUCUUGUGCACCAGGAGGACACAGCAAGCUCAUUUCUGAGCCUUAGUUAAGUCUAUAUCUUUAAAACUAAUUAAAAUAUUGCACUAUAACUAUGUCAAAAAAUAAGACCUAGAGAGUUAAUUCCUUGCACUAUUCAUAGUUUGCAAUUGUAAGGUACAGGGUUCCUAUAACAGGUAGGUUGGCUUUAUCUCUGAGAUCCUGUAGUGAUGAAGCCUGCCAUGUUUACAAUGGAAAAGCCUUAGGAUAAGUCUGUUCUGAAGAAGAUUUUUUUGUAAGCUUUUUGUAGCCAAGCAAAAGUUAUAAGCAAGCUAGAAAGCAGUAGAUCUUAAUCACUCAGGUCAGAGGGAAGACCAAGUGCCCUAUCUAAUCUCACUUUUCCUUCUACCCCACUUUCUUAGAGCAUAGAAGCCACUUUUAAAAAGGAUUUAUUAUCUAUCUAACUUGAACAACAGCAACACAGUUAAGGCUGCUAGUUGUAUGCACCUGAUUUCAAUUUUAAGACACAGAGUAGUAGCUUCCCUUGGAAUAUUAUAGGGGUAACUGGAAAAUAGAUGACCUAGUUUCCAUCAUUUGAUACUUGAUGAUUUCACUUGAGCAAUGUUUCCCAAAAUUUUUCAUGUCUAGAAAUACAAAAAAUAGUAUUUCUAUGUAACCCUGGAGUGCUGCAAGUCUGAAUGUAUAGGUUCACCAAAAUUCCUAAGUUGAAAUUGUUUAAUACUCCAAUGUAAUGGUAUCAGAAUGUGUGUGGGGUGGCUUUGGAAAGUAGUGAGGUCAUGGGGUAGGGCUUUCAUGAAUGUGAUUUGUACCCUUAUAAAAGAUGCUCAAGAAAGCCCUCUUGCCCAUUUCCCAUGUGAAGUUGAAUAAGAAGAUGGCUGUCUAUGAAGAAGCAGGCUCUCUCCAGCCAUCUAGUCUAUGAUGUCUUGGGGAAACAGCAUGAAAAAACUAAAACUGAAGUAAACUAGAGAAAUGGAGCUUUAGAGAAGUAUACUCAUGAACAAAGCUCUGAAGCUUUAGUCAACCCAACUCUCCAUUUGCCCUCCUGAACACCAAAAAACAAGAUUCCAUCCUGUGAUUCAUGCAGCAACAGCGUUCAAGUGAUGGCAAAAAUGAAAGUCACAGACAAGUCAGUAUGCGGUACACUGGGCUGAACAUACAGAGUUUAGUGUUUCUUUGGAGGAAUUGUGACAAUAACAUUUGUUCCCUCUGCCCUCCUUCCCCUCCAUUUCCUGUAAAAUCUACCUUUUCCUACUCUCACUUGCUCUCAUACAGUUUGUGUAGAACUGGCCUAUCCCUGGCUCAAAAGCAUGACCUAUUCUGGCCAGAGAGAGUGGGUCAUACCUCCCAGCAAUCUCAGGAAGAAUGGGAAACUUGGUAAAUUAGUAAUAGUAUUUUGAACUUUGAUGCAACCAUGAAUAAAUAUUCCAACUUUUUCCUUGACUAUGAGUAUGCUUCUUGUUUUGCUUGAACUAAUUGAAAUUAAAUAUUAUUUUCAACUGGAAGAGUCCCAAUUGAUAUUUAUUCUAAUUUCCUAAAAUUCAGAUCCAGUAGGUCAGCUUAAAAAUUUCUAUGACUCACCAUUUCCUAUAAAGUCCAAAUCUUUACCUAAUUAUGAGUAACAUAUAGGUUUAACUGUAAUGCAGUUAAUAUGUUCUCUCUCACUGGUUUAUUGAUUAUAGUGUUAGCCAAGAGCGGACAAGGUAGAAUAUUUGAUCUAAUUAUCAUUCUUUUAUUAUCCUUAUCAAACAGACCUCGAGAAAGCAACAGACAUGCGCUUAGAACUUACAUGGCUUUUGGCAGAUUUUCUUUCCCCUUUCAUGCAGUUGUUACAGAGGAUUUGGCAUGUACUUUGUUUAUUAUUGUAAAAGCAUAUUAUUGACAGUGUAGAAAUUUUAGAGAAUACACCUAUUUUGUUUGUACUGAGAGAAAUUAUUGUAGAGAAGUGAAUCUUCAUGUUUUUCUUGGAUCAUUAAUGUUCACAUUAUCAGGGAAAUUGUUAGUGAUGCACAUUUUUGAACCCAACUUCAAACCAACUGAAUCAGGAAAUCUUUAGAUGGCACGCAGAAACCUGUAUUUUAACACAAUUAAAAUCAUCCCAUGAUACAUGAAAAAAUAUUUGAACCAUUAUGGGGCCUUGGGGAAACUAUGCCUCAUAUCCUUUUCUCUGACAUAAAUAAAAUGCUCAGUAAAUUUUAGAUAAUGCUAUAGCUGUUGAAGCAACAUUCUGAGAAACAUGCUUACUUGUAAUAGUCAAGCAAGGUUUAUUUUAAAUUAAGAACUUACCUCUAAAGUCACGUAAAGAUUGAAGUCAGAGAAUUGAAUGAGUGAUUAAAUUCAUACUGAAAAAUGAAAACAAUGGAUAGCUCUUAUAAAUCUUAGAGUAGUAACUUAAACCUAGUAUAACUUCAGUUGACAUAUAUAUAUAGAGAGAGAGAGAGAGAGAGAGUUUUAAGUGUAGUUUUGCAUUCACCAAAAUGCAGAAACAUGUACUAACUUUAGUUAAGAUAAUAUUUAAAUCUCUAUUAUUUUUAAACUGCUGUGUUUUCUUUUUACUGAAAGUUAUUUUUCAGUUCUAAGGGCUUAAUUCUUUUCUAGCCCCAAGGACUCAAAUGUUAACUUCAUGUUUAUAAAUAGAUGAGCCUGAGACAUCUCAUGUCUAGUAGCACGUAUUUUUGUUGGUGAAACAUUUUCUAAAAUUUGUAAGUAACUCAAAGUUUUUGCUCUUGAUGUACAGUAGCCCAAAAAAGGUACACCUUCUCUCUACUGUGGCCAUUGCCUUCUAGGAAGUUUAAAGUGUCCCAAGAGUUUUCUGGAUCUCUAUUUGCAUGCUGUUUGGAUGUAUAGGUUCAGAAUUUUGCUGGUUUUCCAUUUCAUACUCUAAUAUCAUAUAGACUGCACUUGCUCCUUUAUAGUUAUACCAUCAUAUAUCUCUAGACUUGAAAAUUCAGUUAUAUGUUGUAUGCAGGACAGUAUUUGCUUAUUAAAAAUAUUAAAUUCCAGGCACUAAUCUAGGCAUUAAGUUCAUAAUGAUUAUAUGAGUCACUGUGACCAUAAUGAUAAUAUCUAUAAACCAUAAUUUUCCUAUUAGGCAGAAACUGAACUUUAUUUUGUUUCUUUUUAUCUUCAUAGAGAUAUGGGAACAUGCAUAGGUGCACAAGAAAAACUUUUGGAUCAUUAAAGUACAUAGUAUAUUUUUGAGAGAUUUUGAGAAGCCUGAUUAGAGAAGGAAACAUGAAAAGUAUAGGCUUAGGAAGUGGAAGAUUAUUUGUGCUGCAGUGUGUUAUAAAAAGAACUUAGUAGAGGUGCUUGGUUUUUAGGUUAAAUAACAGAGAAAAUAAAUGUCACAGCAGUUACAGAUUGACUGAAAUUAUGUUUCAUACAGUGCACUCCUGCUUGACCUUGUAGAGACUUGUGGGAAGCAUCAAAAAGAGCACUGAAAUCAGGCCUGGAGAAACAUGUUUUGAAGCUUGGCUUUACCACUAUUAGCUGUUUGACUUUAGACAAAUUUAAGUUCAUGAAAUUCAUAUAAACUGGCUCCUUAGAUCUAUCAGGAUAUUGCAAACAUCACCAGAACAGGAUAUUUGAAAGAACUUCAAUACAUUUUUCUAAAUGUUCAAUGUUUUUCUAGCAGAAUAGGAUUGAAUUUGGAGGCAGGCACCUUGAGUUGAAAGACAGUGAUGAAAAUGUGAGUUUUUGGAAGAAGGGAAACCAUGUCCUAAAUUAUGAUCUGUAAGGACUGCCAUAAAAUUUUCUUACCAAAAUCUGGAGUGGGUGUAAAUGGUUUCGAGAAUAUGUAUCUUACAAACUGUGUCACUAUGAACAUGAGUGCACAUAUAUCAUAGCGGUGCAGUUUGUAAUAGCUAAAACUUGGAAACAGCCCAAUUGCCCAUCAAUUGGAGACUGGUAAAGAAAAUGUGUUUUUUCUUUUUUAAAUGGAGUAUUACUCAGCCAUAAAGAACAAGAAACUAGAGACAUUUAUAGCUAAAUGGAUGCACAUUGAGGUCAUCUUCUUAAGUGAAAUGAAUAGAACACACAAGUGUAAAUACUGAAUACUUUCUCUGGUGUGAGAAACUGAAAGUGUAAAUAAGAAUCAAAAUGUAUAAUAGAUAAUGUGAAAUAGGAAGCAAAGGUCCAAAGGGGGAGUGGGAGGUGUAGGAAAAAGGAAAAAAAGGGAAAGGAAUAAAUUUGAGAAAAAAAAAAAGGGAACAAAGUUUGUAAAUAGGGAGGGGGUGGAGGGGUUGAACAGAGGGCAGGAGAAUGGAGAAAAAAUAAGAACCAAAAUAUAUUAUGUAAAGGUAGAAAUUCCCAAUAAUGAAUGUCAGCAUAUUGUAUACCUAAAAUGUUCCAAUAAACUUAAUGAAAAAAGUAUAUGUAUCUUGAUCAUCAAAAGUCUCACUAUACACCUAUAAUUUAAACUGUUAUUGUAUGACACAAUUGAGAUAUAUUAAAUUUCUUUUAUUCUCAAAGACAGUACAGAAAACAAAAGGAAGUUUUAUUUCUCAUAAAACUUAUUUUCUCAUACUCUUCAUAAAAAGUAUAGUAUAUUUUCUGAACAGUGAUUUCCUGGGUUAUAGUUACUUGAUAUUUGUUUUUCUAGGCACAAGGAUAUUGUGAUUGGUUCUACAUUUAUGAAAGUAACAAACUAUGAACAUAGUAUAAUACAUUUUGCUUGAGUGGAAGCAGUAGUAUAAAUAUUUCACUAAAAUUAAAACAAGUAUUUUAGGUUGUAUUCUUAUUAGGUUGUUUUCUUAUUUAUAAAUAGACUUGAUUAUUAUUGAAUAUGUUUCUCAUUGGCAUUUUAAAUUUUAUUAUAUUAUAUGGUGAUGCACCAUAUAAAGAUAUUUUGGUCAAUGAUGGUUCACAGUGGUAUAUUCCAUAUGGCAUAGGUGUGUAAUAGACUAUAUCAUUUAGAUUUGUUCUCUCUAUGAUAUUUACACAACAAAAUUAUCUAGAACAUUUUUUCUUAGAAUUUAUCUAUAAUUAAGCAAUGCAUGAUACCAUUUAAUAUCAUAUAUAAUACAUUUUUAUUUUAUUACAUUUUAGAAAACAUAUUAGAUUGAAAAUCAGAAAACAUAGGAGGUGAUCUUUAAUUCACACAAUCUGUGUAUCAUAUCUUUAUCUUCCUUUCACCUCUUUCUCAGUAUAAUUAUGUAUUCUACUGUCUUACCCUCUAACUUAUGCCUAGGUCUUCCUCCAAUGAGUCAUGCAUUCACAAGCAUAUGGAGGGAGACAUUUAGUCUUAUUCUUUGAUAUCUUUAGCACAGGGACUAGAACAUUGUUGAUGCUUCAUAAAUAUCAAGGCAAAUACAUUCAUUUGAAUUGAAUAUUAGCCUUUGAUCAAUUCAAUAAAAACGGUGCAAAAUUAGUUAAGACUGCCAUCAAAUCUUUUGUAUUUCCUGUCAAAUUAAACAAUAAUUUGAUUCUCAGAGAUUCUUAGUACUUCAUUUACAAACAGAAAUCUGGGAAAUAAUAUGUCUAUUCUUAUAUUCUUCAAAAGAUAUGCUUUUCUUUCAGGGAAUGGAUAUACUAAGAAUAUUCAUAGAAGCUGAAUAUAAGUGACCAAUAUGAUAUAGCCCAAAGGUGUGUGCAAGUUGAAGGGCAGAUAGGAAGAGAUUAUGUCAAGGUAGUAGAUACUGUCUGUGAUAGUUGCUAGCAGAGACAAACACUACCUGAUGCCUUUUCACUAUCCACUUCCCAAGCCAUGCCAAUUAAGUAGAAAUGUGUCCAGCUGAAAACUUGUUUAGUAACCUUUGGUCCAAAUAGAAGUAGGCAUGUGACUCAAUUCUGACCAACAAUAAAAUUGGUGGAGGCUUCCAUGUAAUUUUUAUAGGGGAGAUAAACUUACUGGAAUGGCCUUUUAGUCCUUUUCCCUGCCUCCUGCAUGGAUGCCUGGAGGUGCAAUCAUUGCAAUCAUGAGGAUUAAAACCACAUUUUAUAGUUGGUUUCAGUAAGAGUAGAAAAGAAAUCUGGAUCAUAAGGACAUUCGGCUACAGUACUAAUCCUGAUCUUUCUAUCCAUGGACUUGUUACAUGAGACAAAUAAACCUUUUAUUUAUUUAAUGUACAGUUUGUUGGGCUUUCUCAAAACUAAACACAAUCCUCAUAUAUUUGCCCUUCUGGGAAAAAAGGUAGUACAUGACUUUCAAAAUCUAAUGAGAUUCAUGUAUGACUUAAACCACUCUACUGAAGCAGUUCCAUUUCAGUCCAUGGUGCAAGGCAGUUGCCCUGAAUAACAUAUAGUGUCUAAUAAUUUUGUUUCUUUGUUAGUUUUUCCUGAAGCCUAGGGUCAAAGAGCCCAGAAAAUUGUAAACAUAGAGAUGUAAUCUCUGUGCACAUUGGCUGAUAAAUGCUAUUAUGAUUUGUAUGCCUAGAUUUGGUAAAGAACGAAUAUUCAACAUCUCUACAUAAUAUUGCUUUAAUUAAAUUCUUUUCUCUCUGGCUGUCAUACAUGCCACACAGGCGCAAUCAACGAACAUUGACAAUUUGCUUAAAUCUUACUCUUUGUCCUAUUUGUAUAAUUUAUUGUGUCAGUGUUCCUCAAGUGGUGUGCUCCUGCAACUCAUCAUCUAGAAAUCCUUCCCAGAUGUGCUGAAAUUUUUCAUUAAUUUGUACAAGUAUUGUUUUGUAAUUAAAUACACACGCUUUUGACUGGAAGAGAAAACACCUCUCUUUAAUCCCAGAGAAUUAUUUGGCCUUGAGAAAAAUUGAUUCAUGCCCUUCCCACUUCAUCCUCCUUAUUCAGAUAGAUAUUCCUGAAGCAUUCGCUGCUUUAUAAAUUUACUUGGUCCAAAGAUGAAAAAGAAAAAUCCAUUACUUUAAAGAUUUCUGCAGGAUCUACCUAUAACUCACUUUUUAGUUUCCAAUUAAGAAUAACAUAACUCUAGAGUAGGCUUCAACCCUAAUUUUCCAAACUGGAAUACAAUUUCAAAGCAGGAAGUGACAAUCUCUGUAGUGGUACUUGUCCACAGAGGUGAUAUUUCUGGUUAUUGAAUUUCAAGACUAGAAACUAAGCUUACUAUCUUUUAGCUUGGUAACUGUAAAGAGAGGGUGAGGACUGCUCUGUAUAUUAAUAAAGACUAUCAUAAGCAGCUGAAGAAAUUGGCUUAGCUCUACUUCUUAGUGUCCAUGUUUGUUUGUUUGUUUUUUGGUAUGAAGCAUGGAAUAUAAAACUAAUACUGCAUUUACUACAUUCAUUUGCAGCUAGGUUCCUGAGUGACAUUGGGUUUGGCUGGUUUGAUAACCAGGGUCACAUUUAGAAGGGAAAUGUGAGGCAAAUACCACAUGGUUGACUGAUUCUAUUUAUUUCUAAUGACCUUUACUAGGCACACUUUGUAUAGAAAAUAAUGAGCAUAUUUUAAGUAUAUAGUUUAAUGAGUUCUGACUAAUUUAUUGAUCUAUUUAACCAAUAUCAAUAUCAAUGUGUAUAUUAAUUUCCUUACUCCAUAAUAAAACUUUGUGCUCCUUUCCAGACAACCCCCAAAUCCUGGACCCAGACAACUAUUGAUCUGCUUUGUAUUGCCAUAGAUCAUAUUUUCUUUUCUGAGAGAUUCAAUAAACAGAUUCUUAUAUUAAAUCAUCUUAACUCUGGCUUAUUCCCAUCACCAUGAUAUUUUGAAAUAUAUCAAUACUGUUUGUAUAGUAAGCAAAGAUUUAAGAUGGGCUCAAAAAAUCUUCACUCCUGGUAUAUGUACCUUUUACCUCUUAUCCAACCAAAGUUAAUUUAAAUGAUACUAUGAAAGGAUUUUCAAGGUAUAAUUAAAGUCCUUAAUAAGUUUGCUUUAAGUUAUGUGGAUUUUCCUAGGUGAGCCAGACCUAAGUAGGUGAGCCAUUAGAAAAAUUAGAGCUAUUCAAAGAACAGGAGAAAUUUUGUCACCAACUUUAAAAAGAUAACUUCCAUUUUGUGAUGAAGUCCAUAUGUCAAGUAGGCCUAGGCAGCUUCUAGGAGCUGAGAAUCACCCUAGUUUCAUGGCCAGCUAGCAACCUUCCCUAUAACCUCAGACCUAUAAACAUAAGAAACUGAAUUCUGUUAAAAACCAGUUAGAAAAACCUUGAGCUUUAAUUGAAAUUGAGGCUCUGACCAAUACCUUGAAUUUAACCUGAUGAGGCCUGAAGAGAGAACUCAAUUAUGUUCUUCCAGGUUUCUAUCCUACAGAACCAUGAUUUAAUAAAUGGACAAUAAUUGAAACUUAAUUGCUAACAAGUUGCUAUAAACUCUAGGAAUGUAGUUAAAUAAUUGACAUCCCUCAGCAACUGAGUAUUUUAUUUAUUAAAAAAUAAAUUACUAUAUGGGAGAGAUUACACAAGGCUGUGAAUACCAGGAAGGUGUGAUAUCUAGGGUUUGAUUUUAAAAGCUGUGUAAUUUUGUAGUGAUUUGUUAGGCACCAAUGCAAAAUGAAUAUACUGAAUGUCAUUAGAUUUUUUAUUUUAUUGCUAAAUAUAUUAAUAUUGCUUCCUAACAAACUACUAGCAAUGCAGUAUAUUUUUUAUUAGUAUAUGUUUGCCAUACAUAAUGUUUAACUUCCUUGUGUGAAGUUGGUGCUUGUAAUGGAAUAUAUCUCAAGGGCCAGGGAUUUAGCUUAGUGGUUCUGCCACCUGCCUUGCAAGUUCAAGGUCCCAAGUUCGUAUCUCCGGUACCAAAAAAACAAAAACAAAAAACCCCAGAACAUAUCUUGAUUGUUUUUUCAUCCCUUUUUCCUCCUCUCCCUUCACCUCUCCCUCCAUUGCUUGAUCCCCUUCCCUUUGAAGGGGAUAUUUGUCUCCAUAAUUCCUAUUAUCUGUGUUUUAUUUUGCUCUUUUGUCUCUUUAUUUGAAUUUUGAUUUCUCAUAGGAGAAAAAUCCAAAUAGGUUCCUUUGAGAUCUUAACUAUUUAGGAAAAAAGUUCCUAUUGUUAUACUACUUACACAAGACUUCCAAAAAGGUCCAUUGCAGUGAAAGCCUGGUUGCCAGCUGAUGGGCCUUUGGGGAUUACUUAGAUUGUGAGGGCUCUAACUUCCUCAAAGUAUGAACCAUUGAUGAAAUCAUAAACGGGUGGCAUUAUUGGAAGGCCAUGGGAAUGGAAGGUGGGGGCUAAGUAAAGGGAGGGGAUAAUGGGAGUGUGGCCUUGGGGACUGUAUCUGGUCCAAGGCCCUUUUCUCUUUGAUACUCUCAUCCUAUGUGCUUCCAGGGUAACUCAGGUGAGCAGCUUUCCUCUGCCACACCCUUCUAGUAUAAGGUUUCUGCAUCACUACAAGCAUAAGCAUGAGCUGCCUGGCUAUGGGAUGAAACCUGUGAAACCAUGAGCCAAAGUAACUUUUCCUCCUUUAAAUUGACUCCUCAGGUAUUUUGUCAGUCACCAAAAGCUAACAUAGCUAUGAACAUGUAAGUACUACAUUUUGUAUAAGCAUAUAUUUUAUUUAUUUUGAGUAGAAAUGCAAUGCCAUAUAGAAAAUGUUUAAUCUUAUAUAACAAACUUCUUUAAUUGUUUUCCAAGUGCUUGCUCCAUUUCACACACCCAACAAUGUGAAAAAUGUAUUACAAUUUCAGUUUUUCUACAUUUUCACAAAUAUUUGAUAUUAUUGGAAAACUUAACUGUAAACAUAUAAAUGAGUGUACAGUGGUGCUAAUGAUAAAUAUACAUUUAAUUCACACUUAGCAGGAGCUAAUUAUGUUAAGCAUCUUCUCAUAUGCUUAGAGGGCAUUUAUAUACUUUCUUUUGAGAAAUACCUGUUUAAGAUUACCCAUUCAAAUUCUUUUACUUUUUAUUAUAG